GGAUGUGAGGGCGAUCUGGCUGCGACAUCUGUCACCCCAUUGAUCGCCAGGGUUGAUUCGGCUCAUCUGGCUGGCUAGGCGGGUGUCCCCUUCCUCCCUCACCGCUCCAUGUGCGUCCCUCCCAAAGCUGUGCGCCUUCCCCCUAAUAGAGACAGACCAGUCUCCGGUCGAGGGUAUCUGAGUAGCUGCCCUCCCCUGCUAGAACCUCCAAAGAGCUCUCAAAAGCGUACUAAGUAUAUAAAUACCAAGUUCCCUAAAUAAAUGGGGACCACAGAAAGUAGAUAAUAGACACGGAAUGAAUGGCAUUACCAAGUAAACCAUUAUGG
ensembl:misc_RNA 7SK 7SK RNA